AAGGCCUUGCGCGAUUGGAGCGGCCGAUGUCGGAUUAGCUUGUUGGCGGGGUAAAAGCCCACCAAGGCGACGAUCCGUAGCUGGUUUGAGAGAACGACCAGCCACACUGGGACUGAGACACGGCCCAGACUCCUACGGGAGGCAGCAGUGGGGAAUUUUGGACAAUGGGGGCAACCCUGAUCCAGCCAUGCCGCGUGUGUGAAGAAGGCCUUCGGGUUGUAAAGCACUUUCGGACGGAACGAAAUCGCACGGGCGAAUAUCCCGUGUGGAUGACGGUACUGUAAGAAGAAGCACCGGCUAACUACGUGCCAGCAGCCGCGGUAAUACGUAGGGUGCGAGCGUUAAUCGGAAUUACUGGGCGUAAAGCGUGCGCAGGCGGCUUCGCAAGUCAGACGUGAAAUCCCCGGGCUUAACCUGGGAAUG
rnacentral:rRNA from 1 species